UACGUAGGGGGCAAGCGUUGUCCGGAUUCAUUGGGCGUAAAGAGCGGGUAGGCGGCCAGGUAGGUCGGUUGUGAAAACUGGAGGCUCAACCUUCAGAGGUCGACCGAAACCAUCUGGCUAGAGUCCGGGAGAGGAGAGUGGAAUUCCUGGUGUAGCGGUGAAAUGCGUAGAGAUCGGGAGGAACAUCCGUGGCGAAGGCGACUACCUGGACCAGCACUGACACUGAGGCACGAAAGCGUGGGGAGCAAACAGG
rnacentral:rRNA from 1 species